GAUGAACGCUAGCGGGAGGCUUAACACAUGCAAGUCGAGGGGUAACAUGAGGUAGCAAUACUUUGAUGACGUCCGGCGCACGGGUGAGUAACGCGUAUGUAACCUACCUUGUACAGGGGGAUAGCCCGUAGAAAUUCGGAUUAAUACCCCAUAAUGAUAUCUGAAUGCAUCUUUAGAUAUUUAAAGUUUCGACGGUACGAGAUGGGCAUGCGUGACAUUAGCUAGUUGGUAAGGUAACGGCUUACCAAGGCUGCGAUGUCUAGGGGUCCUGAGAGGCUGAUUCCCCACACUGGUACUGAGGCAAGGACCAGGCUCCUACGGGAGGCAGCAGUGAGGAAUAUUGGUCAAUGGGCGUAAGCCUGAACCAGCCAUCCCGCGUUAAGGAAGAAGGCGCUAUGCGUCGUAAACUUCUUUUCCGGAGGAAUAAAAUUUCGUACGUGUACGGGACUGAAGGUACUCCGGGAAUAAGCAUCGGCUAACUCCGUGCCAGCAGCCGCGGUAAGAC
rnacentral:rRNA from 1 species